GUAGGGAAUAUUGGACAAUGGGCGAAAGCCUGAUCCAGCCAUGCCGCGUGAUAGAUGAAGGCCCUCUGGGUUGUAAAUAUCUUUUAUCUGGGAAGAAACUCCUCUAUUCUUAGAGGCCUGACGGUACCAGAGGAAUAAGCACCGGCUAACUCCGUGCCAGCAGCCGCGGUAAUACGGAGGGUGCAAGCGUUAUCCGGAUUCACUGGGUUUAAAGGGUGCGUAGGCGGGUUGAUAAGUCAGUGGUGACAGCGCCGGGCUUAACUUGGAAACUGCCAUUGGUACUGUCAGUCUUGAAUGUCGUAGAGGUAAGCGGAAUGUUGCAUGUAGCGGUGAGAUGCUUAGAUAUGUUACAGAACACCAAUGGCGAAGGCAGCUUACUAUGCGAUAAUUGACGCUGAGGCACGAAAGCGUGGGGAGCAAACAGGAUUAGAAACCCUAGUAGUCC
rnacentral:rRNA from 1 species